GUAUCCUACGGGAGGCAGCAGUGAGGAAUAUUGGUCAAUGGGCUAAGGCCUGAACCAGCCAAGUCGCGUGAGGGAAGACGGUCCUAUGGAUUGUAAACCUCUUUUGUCGGGGAGCAACGAGGCCACGCGUGGCCGAAGUGAGAGUACCCGAAGAAAAAGCAUCGGCUAACUCCGUGCCAGCAGCCGCGGUAAUACGGAGGAUGCGAGCGUUAUCCGGAUUUAUUGGGUUUAAAGGGUGCGUAGGCGGACUGGAAAGUCAGCGGUAAAAUCGAGAGGCUCAACCUCUUUCCGCCGUUGAAACUGUG
rnacentral:rRNA from 1 species